rnacentral:tRNA from 1 species
GGUGGCUUAGUGGUAGAGCACUUGCCUUGUAUGCAUGAGGCCCUGGGUUCAAUACCUCAGCACCA